AAUAGAUACCCGGGUAGUCCACGCCGUAAACGAUGAGCGCUAAGUGUUAGAGGGUUUCCGCCCUUUAGUGCUGCAGCUAACGCAUUAAGCACUCCGCCUGGGGAGUACGGUCGCAAGACUGAAACUCAAAGGAAUUGACGGGGGCCCGCACAAGCGGUGGAGCAUGUGGUUUAAUUCGAAGCAACGCGAAGAACCUUACCAGGUCUUGACAUCCCACUGACCGGUAUAGAGAUAUACCUUUCCCUUCGGGGACAGUGGUGACAGGUGGUGCAUGGUUGUCGUCAGCUCGUGUCGUGAGAUGUUGGGUUAAGUCCCGCAACGAGCGCAACCCUUGAUCUUAGUUGCCAGCAUUUAGUUGGGCACUCUAAGGUGACUGCCGGUGACAAACCGGAGGAAGGUGGGGAUGACGUCAAAUCAUCAUGCCCCUUAUGACCUGGGCUACACACGUGCUACAAUGGAUGGUACAAAGGGCUGCAAGACUGCGAAGUCAAGCCAAUCCCAUAAAACCAUUCUCAGUUCGGAUUGCAGG
rnacentral:rRNA from 1 species